rnacentral:rRNA from 1 species
GAUGAACGCUGGCGGCGUGCUUAACACAUUCAAGUCGAACGGAGUUAUUUGAAUUAAUCCUUCGGGAAGCGUCCAGAUAACUUAGUGGCGAACGGGUGAGUAACGCGUGAGGAACCUGCCUCUCAGUGGGGGACAACAGUUGGAAACGACUGCUAAUACCGCAUAAUGUUCUUUGACCGCAUGGUUUUAGAACCAAAGAUUUAUUGCUGAGAGAUGGCCUCGCGUCUGAUUAGCUAGUUGGUGGGGUAACGGCCCACCAAGGCGACGAUCAGUAGCCGGUCUGAGAGGAUGAACGGCCACAUUGGGACUGAGAUACGGCCCAGACUCCUACGGGAGGCAGCAGUGGGGAAUAUUGCACAAUGGAGGAAACUCUGAUGCAGCGAUGCCGCGUGAGGGAAGAAGGUUUUCGGAUUGUAAACCUCUGUCUUCAGGGACGAUAAUGACGGUACCUGAGGAGGAAGCUCCGGCUAACUACGUG